rnacentral:tRNA from 1 species
AUUUAAGUAGUUUAACCAAAAUCUUGAUUUGUGAAUUCAGAGAUGUAAUAAUUUACCUUAAAUA